CAAUGCACUCAGGAUCCUUAUCCACAAGUGCUGCCCCUCCAGUAGGGGGCUUUCCUAAUAGCCUGCCAAAUAUGCAAGGCCCAUCAAAUGUAACCGGGAACCAAAUGUAUCCGCAAGGUGGACCAUUCAACCGACCACAAGGUGGACAGAUGCCAAUGAUGCCAGGGUUUAAUCCUUAUCAGUCUGGUAGUCAAUCUGGUAUGCCUCCACCACUACCGCCAGGGCCUCCACCACAUUCCCAAACACCUCAGUAGACCAUCGUUUCAUCAAAGAGCGGCUGCGAGGAAACAACAACUUGCACUGGCUUGCUUGUGUUGAAGCUAACCUGUGCCCAUUUUAGUACUUAUGAUUCUUUUUGUCCUUUUUCUGUGGUCAGUGUGUAAUUUUCCCUGUAAAUACUCUUGGAUAUUCGAUGAGAUGACUUUAGUUGGGUGGAAAAUGCAAUGCAAUCCUUUUGUCUGAAAAAAAAAAAAAAAAUCAUAAGUACUAAAAUGGGCACAGGUU
rnacentral:misc_RNA from 1 species